AAGCAACAUCUUCUUGCAACUAGAUGGAGUGUGUAAGUGCAAAGAGGCUUGUUGCAGGUGAUUCGGUCCUUUUUCAUCUGGAAUGAAAGAAUCAGUUAAUCCUGGGAAUCUGACAUGCUAACCAGCCACAAACAGUCAUGCCUUUGUCACUAUAUAUAUUAACUUCUUGAAUUGUCUUUCAUAAAAAGAAAAAAGAAAAAAGAAAGAAAUAGUUACUGACCAUAUGCACUGGUGGAUUUCAUGCAUGAGGGUUUGUAUGUGGAUUUCACAGGGUUUGUACUCUCAAGGCAAGGAGUGAUGAUGUACUCUCGUCCAUCUCUUUGAGUGUCCUUAAUAGUUGCAUCACAAUCAAAUUUUCACUGGUACAAUUUGGAAUGUACAAAAUAAUGGAAAGUAGAUUACUGAA